AACAAACGCUGGCGGCGUGCCUAAUACAUGCAAGUCGAGCGGGUAGCAAUACCAGUGGCGCACGGGUGAGGAAUACAUAGAUAAUCUGCCUUCGAGUCGGGGAUAACCAGUCGAAAGAUUGGCUAAUACCGGAUAAGACCACAAGAUCUGCGGAUCAAGGGGUUAAAGGUUUUUCGCUUGAAGGUGAGUCUAUGCGAGAUUAGCUAGUUGGUGAGGUAAUGGCUCACCAAGGCGACGAUCUCUAACUGGUCUUAGAGGAUGAUCAGUCACACUGGAACUGAGACACGGUCCAGACUCCUACGGGAGGCAGCAGUAGGGAAUAUUGCGCAAUGGGGGAAACCCUGACGCAGCGACGCCGCGUGAGUGAUGAAGGCCUUCGGGUCGUAAAGCUCUGUCGUAUGGGAAUAACACAAUGAAUGUACCAUGCAAGAAAGGAUCGGCUAACUUCGUGCCAGCCGCCGCCGUAA
rnacentral:rRNA from 1 species